rnacentral:rRNA from 1 species
GACGAACGCUGGCGGCGUGCUUAACACAUGCAAGUCGAACGGAAAGGCCCUGCUUUUGUGGGGUGCUCGAGUGGCGAACGGAUGAGUAACACGUGAGUAACCUGCCCUUGACUUUGGGAUAACUUCAGGAAACUGGGGCUAAUACCGGAUAGGAGCUCCUGCUGCAUGGUGGGGGUUGGAAAGUUUCGGCGGUUGGGGAUGGACUCGCGGCUUAUCAGCUUGUUGGUGGGGUAGUGGCUUACCAAGGCUUUGACGGGUAGCCGGCUUGAGGGGGUGACCGGCCACAUUGGGACUGAGAUACGGCCCAGACUCCUACGGGAGGCAGCAGUGGGGAAUAUUGCACAAUGGGCGGAAGCCUGAUGCAGCAACGCCGCGUGCGGGAUGACGGCCUUCGGGUUGUAAACCGCUUUCGCCUGUGACGAAGCGUGAGUGACGGUAAUGGGUAAAGAAGCACCGGCUAACUACGUG